rnacentral:rRNA from 1 species
UCGGGAAUUUUGGGCAAUGGGCGAAAGCCUGACCCAGCAACGCCGCGUGAGGGAUGGAGUAUUUCGGUAUGUGAACCUCGAAAGAAUGGGAAGAAUAAAUGACGGUACCAUUUAUAAGCUCCGGCUAACUACGUGCCAGCAGCCGCGGUAAUACGUAGGCAGCAAGCGUUGUUCGGAAUUACUGGGCGUAAAGGGUGCGUAGGCGGCGCUCUAAGUUUGGUGUGAAAUCUCCCGGCUUAACUGGGAGGGUGCACUGAGAACUGGGGCGCUCGAGUAUGGGAGAGGAAAGCGGAAUUCCUGGUGUAGCGGUGAAAUGCGUAGAGAUCAGGAGGAACACCUGCGGUGCAGACGGCUUUCUGGACCAUCACUGACGCUGAGGCACGAAAGCGUGGGUAGCAAACA